UUAAGCGACUAAGCGUACACGGUGGAUGCCCUGGCAGUCAGAGGCGAUGAAGGACGUGCUAAUCUGCGAAAAGCGUCGGUAAGGUGAUAUGAACCGUUAUAGCCGGCGAUGUCCGAAUGGGGAAACCCAGUGCAAUUCGUUGCACUAUCGUUAACUGAAUACAUAGGUUAACGAGGCGAACCGGGGGAACUGAAACAUCUAAGUACCCCGAGGAAAAGAAAUCAACCGAGAUUCCCCCAGUAGCGGCGAGCGAACGGGGAGCAGCCCAGAGUCUGAAUCAGCUUGUGUGUUAGUGGAACGGUCUGGAAAGUCCGACGGUACAGGGUGAUAGUCCCGUACACCAAAAUGCACAGGCUGUGAACUCGAAGAGUAGGGCGGGACACGUGGUAUCCUGUCUGAAUAUGGGGGGACCAUCCUCCAAGGCUAAAUACUCCUGACUGACCGAUAGUGAACCAGUACCGUGAGGGAAAGGCGAAAAGAACCCCGGCGAGGGGAGUGAAAAAGAACCUGAAACCGUGUACGUACAAGCAGUGGGAGCACCUUCGGGUGUGACUGCGUACCUUUUGUAUAAUGGGUCAGCGACUUAUAUUCUGUAGCAAGGUUAACCGUAUAGGGGAGCCGCAGGGAAACCGAGUCUUAACUGGGCGUUAAGUUGCAGGGUAUAGACCCGAAACCCGGUGAUCUAGCCAUGGGCAGGUUGAAGGUUGGGUAACACUAACUGGAGGACCGAACCGACUAAUGUUGAAAAAUUAGCGGAUGACUUGUGGCUGGGGGUGAAAGGCCAAUCAAACCGGGAGAUAGCUGGUUCUCCCCGAAAGCUAUUUAGGUAGCGCCUCGUGAACUCAUCUUCGGGGGUAGAGCACUGUUUCGGCUAGGGGGUCAUCCCGACUUACCAACCCGAUGCAAACUACGAAUACCGAAGAAUGUUAUCACGGGAGACACACGGCGGGUGCUAACGUCCGUCGUGAAGAGGGAAACAACCCAGACCGCCAGCUAAGGUCCCAAAGUCAUGGUUAAGUGGGAAACGAUGUGGGAAGGCACAGACAGCCAGGAUGUUGGCUUAGAAGCAGCCAUCAUUUAAAGAAAGCGUAAUAGCUCACUGGUCGAGUCGGCCUGCGCGGAAGAUGUAACGGGGCUAAACCAUGCACCGAAGCUGCGGCAGCGACACUAUGUGUUGUUGGGUAGGGGAGCGUUCUGUAAGCCUGCGAAGGUGUGCUGUGAGGCAUGCUGGAGGUAUCAGAAGUGCGAAUGCUGACAUAAGUAACGAUAAAGCGGGUGAAAAGCCCGCUCGCCGGAAGACCAAGGGUUCCUGUCCAACGUUAAUCGGGGCAGGGUGAGUCGACCCCUAAGGCGAGGCCGAAAGGCGUAGUCGAUGGGAAACAGGUUAAUAUUCCUGUACUUGGUGUUACUGCGAAGGGGGGACGGAGAAGGCUAUGUUAGCCGGGCGACGGUUGUCCCGGUUUAAGCAUGUAGGCUGGUUGUCCAGGCAAAUCCGGAUAAUCAAGGCUGAGGUGUGAUGACGAGGCACUACGGUGCUGAAGUAACAAAUGCCCUGCUUCCAGGAAAAGCCUCUAAGCAUCAGGUAACAUUAAAUCGUACCCCAAACCGACACAGGUGGUCAGGUAGAGAAUACCAAGGCGCUUGAGAGAACUCGGGUGAAGGAACUAGGCAAAAUGGUGCCGUAACUUCGGGAGAAGGCACGCUGGUGUGUAGGUGAAGUCCCUGCGGAUGGAGCUGAGACCAGUCGAAGAUACCAGCUGGCUGCAACUGUUUAUUAAAAACACAGCACUGUGCAAACACGAAAGUGGACGUAUACGGUGUGACGCCUGCCCGGUGCCGGAAGGUUAAUUGAUGGGGUUAUCCGUAAGGAGAAGCUCUUGAUCGAAGCCCCGGUAAACGGCGGCCGUAACUAUAACGGUCCUAAGGUAGCGAAAUUCCUUGUCGGGUAAGUUCCGACCUGCACGAAUGGCGUAAUGAUGGCCAGGCUGUCUCCACCCGAGACUCAGUGAAAUUGAACUCGCUGUGAAGAUGCAGUGUACCCGCGGCAAGACGGAAAGACCCCGUGAACCUUUACUAUAGCUUGACACUGAACAUUGAGCCUUGAUGUGUAGGAUAGGUGGGAGGCUUUGAAGCGUGGACGCCAGUCUGCGUGGAGCCAACCUUGAAAUACCACCCUUUAAUGUUUGAUGUUCUAACGUUGGCCCCUUACCGGGGUUGCGGACAGUGUCUGGUGGGUAGUUUGACUGGGGCGGUCUCCUCCCAAAGCGUAACGGAGGAGCACGAAGGUUAGCUAAUCCUGGUCGGACAUCAGGAGGUUAGUGCAAUGGCAUAAGCUAGCUUGACUGCGAGCGUGACGGCGCGAGCAGGUGCGAAAGCAGGUCAUAGUGAUCCGGUGGUUCUGAAUGGAAGGGCCAUCGCUCAACGGAUAAAAGGUACUCCGGGGAUAACAGGCUGAUACCGCCCAAGAGUUCAUAUCGACGGCGGUGUUUGGCACCUCGAUGUCGGCUCAUCACAUCCUGGGGCUGAAGUAGGUCCCAAGGGUAUGGCUGUUCGCCAUUUAAAGUGGUACGCGAGCUGGGUUUAGAACGUCGUGAGACAGUUCGGUCCCUAUCUGCCGUGGGCGCUGGAGAAUUGAGGGGGGCUGCUCCUAGUACGAGAGGACCGGAGUGGACGCAUCACUGGUGUUCGGGUUGUCAUGCCAAUGGCACUGCCCGGUAGCUAAAUGCGGAAGAGAUAAGUGCUGAAAGCAUCUAAGCACGAAACUUGCCCCGAGAUGAGUUCUCCCUGAGACUUUAAGUCUCCUGAAGGAACGUUAAAGACGAUGACGUUGAUAGGCCGGGUGUGUAAGCGCAGCGAUGCGUUGAGCUAACCGGUACUAAUGAACCGUGAGGCUUAACCUU
rnacentral:rRNA from 2 species